GAUGCCGCUAUAUUUGCGUUGACGUGUUGAAGUUUUUUUACUUUAGUUAAGUUUUUUUAAUCAUUCAUUAUUUGUGGGAAUUUAGUGUAUUGAGUCUAUUCGUUAAUAUUAAAAUUUGUUAUAAGUGUCACGAGUUUUCUGACCAGAUUUGCACUUCGAAGUAAGCUCAACUCACCUUUUUGAGACGCCAACACUACACUAAAGAUUAGUAGGAAAAACCAAGACACAGCCUCCACGAAAGCCAAUCGUCGAAUGCGGACCAGUGGGUUCAAUAUGGCAAGACUUACUGCUCCAAAAGAACUCCUGGAAAAGCUGCUCUGCACUAAAUGUGAGGAGCUACUAUCGGUUUUCCCAGUAUACAUCAAAACCAACGGCAAAGACCCUAUUUGCGGACGAUGCAAAAUUUCCGAGGGCGAGUACAUACGCGAUGAGGCCUAUGAACGUUUGGCCCAAUUUCUAAUUUUUCCAUGUGCUCUAGAAUCGCGAGGUUGCGAAACCGCUUUAACGCCUUUAAAAAUGAAAGUUCACGAAAUCUGUUGUACUUACGAGACUUAUCAAUGUCCAUUCGCAAAUUUCACGUCUUGCAAAUGGUCGGGUCCCAACCCAGAUAUACCGGAUCAUUUGAACUCCAACCAUGAGGACGCUAUACUAGCUGAUGGUAAAUUUACUAUCGAAUUUCAAGACAGCUUUCAAGGCAUUUAUCUGAUGUACGAUAAAGAGGAGAUGUUCAUUAUAAAAACUGACGUAGAUGCCAAAACUAAGACCUUUGUAGGUUCGGUAGAGCAUUUAUUAGUGAACGAAGACUCUUUAAGGCAUUCAUACAUGUUACAAGUGGCUUCGACGGAUUCGACACUUGUUUAUGAGUUUCCUCGACGAUCUACUGAUCAAGAUUCGCAAAAUGACACGAGAUUUACGUACGAUUUUAUAAAAAAGAAACUUGAGGCCUCUACGUCUUCUUUUGUGGUAACAGCUGUAAUCACUAGGGUCAAUGACAAUGACGAAAAUAUCAAACAGUGCGUUAAAAUCGAAAAAAUCAAAUUGGAUAUUGAUGAAGAUAUGCUACGUGAACUGGAGUGUCCUGUAUGCUACGAAUACAUGCUGCCUCCCAUUUAUCAGUGCAUCAAUGGGCAUAGCAUUUGUGAGUCUUGCAAAGACCGUCCCAUCAACGUUUGCCCGAAAUGCACCGGACAAAUUCGGGACACCCGAAACUUCGCUUUGGAAAAAUUAACCGCCAAAAUUAACUACUCGUGCAAAUACCGAGAUCACGGUUGUACUGUAGUUCGAAAAUCCGAAAAUAUUAGGGAACACGAACGAUGCUGCGAGUACGGAUCCUACAAUUGUCCCUUAGCAGAGUGGGUGGACUGCGACAAGGUCGCAACUAGAACGGAAAUUAUGAAGCAUGUACGAGCCACUCAUGAUUCGUACAUCUUAAAAAGCGACAAAAUUGUUGUGCCCUUUGGUGGUGGUGGGGGUGGAGAUCAACCCCUCGAAGGUUCCCAUAUCAUUGCUUAUGCGAAUCGGCUAUUUGUGGUCGUUUCUGAUCUGUUGCGACCUAACCACGAUGGCCUCGAACCUCCUAUCCUUCAGCUCUCUCUGCACCGACCACGACCAACUUGUCUUUCUAAAAAUGACCGAAAUAGUGGUGGUGGACGUAUGUCGAGACAUGCAGCAGAUUUGUCAUGGAUCGUCUCCUUUAUGGGCCCAUUUAUUCGGUCGGACCUGAUACCCCAGAGGACGUUAGUGGUCGCUUUCGUUACCUACUUGAUCAAGGACAAUGUAGAGAGCAAACAGGCGGUUUUGAUAGAAAAUCUACUGGAGAUGAUUUUUGGUGCGGAAGUUCAGUGUUUAAGGAUUGAGUAAGGAGCUCGUAGUGCGGCAUUGUAAUCAGAUACUAAGCAUUUUGAUGGACUGCUUGGAUUAUCACAAUUUGGUAUGACCACUCGACCACCGAAGAAGAGAGAAAGAAGAAGAGUAGUCAGAAAAGGAACGAACAAAGACAACACAAAACAGAGAUAGAGAAACGCAAGGGUUACGCUAAAGACGCCUCAAAGGAGAACUACAGCAUGUGGGUACCACCGACCGAUCAAACCGGAGACGGUCGUACCAGUUUGAACGAAAAGUUCGGUUCUUAAUUAAUAUUAAAGAAACAACAAAAUCAGGUUUAUUAAUAUUUUAUUAUUAUUAUUAUUUAAUGUCCACUUAACUAUAUAGAUUCAAAGCGUUCGAUUCCUAACAGUCUAUUGGAUACAAUAAAUGGUACUA